AACCGCACAUUUCUCUUCUUUCUGUACUUCAUCCACAAAUAAAAGGAACGCUGAUAAAUCUGGUUUUAUGGUUCCGAGUCACUAGAGAGGGUCUGGAUUUAUUGGGACUACUAAUAACUUGGAAAGGAUUGGUGGGAAUGGAACGGUGAGGCUGAAUCAAAGGAUUUAAUUUGUUGGGGGCUUGGAGCUUGGUAACUGAUUCUUCAAUUUAAGUUUGGGUAUAGUGAGUAGACUUCAACUAAAAUGCUUUUGCGAAAAGAAUUUGGGAUUGAUUCGCAUAUUUAAUAAUGAUAUGUAAACAUUGGAAGUUCGGGACUUAGUAGUGAGAUUCCUUCAUCAUUUAAUAAUUUUGUGAACUUAGAAGAAUUUUGGGCACUUGUUUAUUGCCCUUGAGUUAAG
rnacentral:sRNA from 1 species